ACGCUCGACACCUACGGGAGGCAGCAGUGAGGAAUAUUGGUCAAUGGGCGCUAGCCUGAACCAGCCAAGUAGCGUGAAGGAUGAAGGCUCUAUGGGUCGUAAACUUCUUUUAUAUAAGAAUAAAGUGCAGUAUGUAUACUGUUUUGUAUGUAUUAUAUGAAUAAGGAUCGGCUAACUCCGUGCCAGCAGCCGAGGUAAUCUGAGCGGGCUGGCAAGGC
rnacentral:rRNA from 1 species